rnacentral:rRNA from 1 species
UACGAAGGGGGCUAGCGUUGCUCGGAAUCACUGGGCGUAAAGCGCACGUAGGCGGAUUGUUAAGUCAGGGGUGAAAUCCUGGAGCUCAACUCCAGAACUGCCUUUGAUACUGGCGAUCUUGAGUCCGGAAGAGGAGAGUGGAAUUCCUGGUGUAGCGGUGAAAUGCGCAGAUAUCAGGAAGAACACCCGUGGCUAAGGCGGCUCUCGUAGUACGGUACUGACGCUGAGACGCGAAAGCGUGGGGAGCGAACAGG